rnacentral:rRNA from 1 species
AACGAACGCUGGCGGCAGGCUUAACACAUGCAAGUCGAGCGCCCCGCAAGGGGAGCGGCAUACGGGUGAGUAACGCGUGGGAAUCUACCCAUCUCUACGGAAUAACGCAUGGAAACGUGUGCUAAUACCGUAUACGUCCUUCGGGAGAAAGAUUUAUCGGAGAUGGAUGAGGCCGCGUUGGAUUAGCUAGUUGGUGGGGUAAAGGCCUACCAAGGCGACGAUCCAUAGCUGGUCUGAGAGGAUGAUCAGCAAAACUGGGAAUGAGACACGGCCGAGAAUCGUACGGGGGGCAGCAGUCGGGAAGAUUGGAGCAGGGGGGCAAGCCUGGUCCAGCCGUGCGGCGUGAGUGAUGAAGGCCCUAGGGUUGUAAAGCUCUUUCACCGGUGAAGAUAAUGACGGUAACCGGAGAAGAAGCCCGGCUAACUUCGUGCCAGCCGCCGCGGUAAUAC